UACGUAGGGCGCAAGCGUUAUCCGGAAUUAUUGGGCGUAAAGAGCUCGUAGGCGGUUUGUCGCGUCUGCCGUGAAAGUCCGGGGCUCAACUCCGGAUCUGCGGUGGGUACGGGCAGACUAGAGUCAGGUAGGGGAGAACGGAAUUCCUGGUGUAGCGGUGAAAUGCGCAGAUAUCAGGAGGAACACCGGUGGCGAAGGCGGGUCUCUGGGCCGAUACUGACGCUGAGGAGCGAAAGCGUGGGGAGCGAACAGG
rnacentral:rRNA from 1 species